GUGGAGGUGACACUCUGUGGGGAGGUGACACUGUGGGGAGGUGACAUGGUGGAGGUGACACGGUGGAGGUGACACUGAGGGGAGGUGACGCUGCGGGGGGAGGUGACACAGUGGAGGUGACACUGUGUGGAGGUGACACCGAGGGGAGGUGACACUUUGUGGAGGUGACACUUUGUGGAGGUGACAUGGUGGAGGUGACACCGAGGGGAGGUGACACUGUGGGAAGGUGACAUGGUGGAGGUGACACGGUGGAGGUGACACCG
rnacentral:lncRNA from 1 species